AUUGAACGCUGGCGGAAUGCUUUACACAUGCAAGUCGAGCGGCAGCGCGGGGGCAACCCUGGCGGCGAGCGGCGAACGGGUGAGUAACAUAUCGGAACGUACCCAGUCGUGGGGGAUAACUAUCCGAAAGGAUAGCUAAUACCGCAUACGUCCUGAGGGAGAAAGCGGGGGAUCGCAAGACCUCGCGCGAUUGGAGCGGCCGAUAUCGGAUUAGCUAGUUGGUGGGGUAAAGGCUCACCAAGGCGACGAUCCGUAGCGGGUCUGAGAGGACGACCCGCCACACUGGAACUGAGACACGGUCCAGACUCCUACGGGAGGCAGCAGUGGGGAAUUUUGGACAAUGGGGGCAACCCUGAUCCAGCCAUUCCGCGUGAGUGAAGAAGGCCUUGG
rnacentral:rRNA from 1 species